rnacentral:rRNA from 1 species
AACGAACGCUGGCGGCAGGCUUAACACAUGCAAGUCGAGCGCCCCGCAAGGGGAGCGGCAGACGGGUGAGUAACGCGUGGGAAUCUACCCAUCCCUACGGAAUAGCUCCGGGAAACUGGAAUUAAUACCGUAUACGCCCUACGGGGGAAAGAUUUAUCGGGAAUGGAAUGAGCCCGCGUUGGAUUAGCUAGUUGGUGGGGUAAAGGCCUACCAAGGCGACGAUCCAUAGCUGGUCUGAGAGGAUGAUCAGCCACAUUGGGACUGAGCCACGGCCCAAACUCCAACGAGAGGCAGCAGUGGGAAAUAUUGGCCAAUUGGGGCAACCCUGAGCCAGCCAUGCCGCGUGAGUGAUGAAGGCCUUAGGGUUGUAAAGCUCUUUCACCGGGGAAGAUAAUGACGGUACCCGGAGAAGAAGCCCCGGCUAACUUCGUGCCAGCCGCCGCCGUAAAAC